rnacentral:rRNA from 1 species
CGGGGUGAGUAAUGUCUGGGAAGCUGCCUGAUGGAGGGGGGUAACUACUGGAAACGGUAGCUAAUACCGCAUAACGUCGCAAGACCAAAGAGGGGGACCUUCGGGCCUCUUGCCAUCGGAUGUGCCCAGAUGGGAUUAGCUAGUAGGUGGGGUAACGGCUCACCUAGGCGACGAUCCCUAGCUGGUCUGAGAGGAUGACCAGCCACACUGGAACUGAGACACGGUCCAG